GGAAAGGGGGCCGGACUACAGGGUUUAUUUUAGGAGCAGCUCUAGGGAUCCGAUGGCCUUGUUAGGGGAGCUUUGACCUUUCUUACCGGAGGAAGGAGGCGGCUAGAAGGAAGAAGGCUCUAGAGGACAGCCAGAGGGGCUCGCUUAGCCUAUGGGGCUCUAAAAGAGAGGCUUGCACCGCCUGCGUGACCAGCCGGGGGAAGGGGAAGGCGAGAGCGCCAAGCAUGAGAUAGGGCGGGAAGGGGGUCGCGGGGGCGAGGGGGGAAAGUUUGGAAGGGAUCUUACCUUCUUGGCUCUUAAAGGGGCCGAAUGAUCAGGACAUAUUGGCGGAGGCUGCAAGGAUGGUGUAGUGGUCGAGUGGGGAUGUCUCACCGUUGAGAGCGACCUUGCAAGGCUUGCUCCCAUGGGGACAUGAUCAGGGCAUUUGGAGGAAGCCAAAGGGAUGGGGAGGCCAGUGCCUUGCGCUAAGCGGGAAUUACACUUCCGCUGUCUGCUGCCCCCCCUUGGCGGAGUUUGCCUUCCAUGUCUCCUCAUCUGACAGGCUAGGGUCGCCAAGCAGGGGCUGCUGGAGUCCCUGGAACGGCCACAGCUUUUCUGAGUGUUCUGUCUGGAGCUGCUCGUGGGACCUUUCUCCUCUCUGCUGCCUCUUCCCGAUUUUCACAACCCUGCGUGAGGACCCCACAUCUGACCCUGAAGGUGGCCGAGCAUAGCUUGGACUAUGCAGCACCACCCUCGACUUCCCACACUCCUACUGAUGGGGAGAAGCAAUCUGGCUUAACAGGAAGGAGUGAAGAACGGAGGGCCAGGGAAACAAGUCAGAGAAGAGCGCAGGUCCUUUCCUUGCUGCUGGUCUUGGCCUGACAGCAUGAGUGGUGGAAGGUUUGACUUUGAUGAUGGAGGCGCCUACUGUGGGGGCUGGGAAGGGGGCAAAGCCCAUGGGCAUGGCAUCUGCACUGGGCCCAAAGGUCAGGGUGAAUACUGCGGCUCCUGGAACUAUGGCUUUGAAGUGGUGGGGGUCUACACCUGGCCCAGUGGCAACACCUAUGAAGGCUACUGGUCUCAAGGGAAGAGGCACGGUUUAGGAAUUGAGACCAAAGGAUGGUGGCUUUACAAAGGCGAAUGGACGCACGGUUUCAAGGGAAGGUAUGGGGUCAGGCAGAACAUCAGCAGUGGAGCAAAAUAUGAAGGCACCUGGAAUAAUGGGCUGCAGGACGGUUAUGGCACUGAGACCUAUGCUGAUGGAGGUACAUACCAAGGCCAAUUCACCAAUGGAAUGCGCCAUGGUUAUGGUGUCCGGCAGAGUGUCCCAUAUGGCAUAGCAGCUGUAGUCCGCAACCCUCUAAGGACCUCCCUUACGUCCCUUCGUAGUGAGCACAGCAAUGGCACCCUGUUGCAACAUGACUCCCCAUCAGUUAACCAGGAGAAUGUUCCCAUGACAUCUACAAUCACCCGGGGUGGCUUUGCUCUCAGCUUGUAUGCGGAUGCUGAUACCAGCAAGCUGAAGAAGGGAGGACUCUUCAGACGGAGUUCCUUGUUUGGGAAGUUGAAGAAAUCCGAUUCCAAGACCUCCUUGACCAGCCAAAGGAGCCGACUCAGCUUCCUUAAGAGCGAGAGUGGUAUGAGCUCCACUGGUAGUGAUGCCACCUCCACGGCUAGCCUGGGAGAAGGAGCAGAGGGAGAGGACUUCCCACCUUUUGAUGCUGACAUUGAUGCAACCACUACGGAAUCCUACAUGGGUGAGUGGAAGAAUGACAAACGCUCUGGGUUUGGCGUAAGCGAGAGAUCGAGCGGCCUGAAGUAUGAAGGUGAAUGGCUGGAUAAUGUACGGCAUGGAUAUGGUUGUACCACGUUGCCUGAUGGUAAGAAGGAAGAAGGGAAAUACCGAAUGAACGUCCUGAUCAAAGGCAUGAAGAAGCGGGUGAUACCUCUGAAAAGUGCCAAGAUAAGGCAGAAGGUAGACCGGAGCAUAGAAGGGGCUCAGAGGGCAGCGGCCAUCGCCAGACAGAAAUCUGAGAUUGCAGCUUCUAGGACUGCCCAUGCCAAAGCCAAGUCAGAAGGUGCCGAGCAAGCAGCACUGGCAGCUAACAACGAAUCCACUUUAGCCAGGUCAAUGGCCAGGGAACUGUCUCCGGAUUUCUAUCAGCCAGGUCCUGAAUACUUGAAGAGGCGACUGCUCCAGGAGCUCAUGGAAAAUGAAGAGAACCUAGAAAAUACUGAAGAAGCACCACCUGUGGAAGAGCCACCUCCACCAACAACCCCAGAAAGCCCUGAGGCUGAUGAGCAAGAUUCCACCAAACCCAAGGAAAGCCCCGCUCGAACACCUUCACCAGCUGGAACACCACCUGAGGCCAAACGAGCUAAGCAAAGUUCCCAGAAGGGCACCGGGAGCUGGAACGGAGAUCAUAGAAAAGAUGGGAGUUGCACAGAAAGUAGGCCCAACACACCUUCUAAUGCUCUGUUAGCACCAACAGAGAAGUCAGCAGGCAGCAGUAGGCCGGCUUCCCGGAGCCCCAGCCGACAUAGCCAUGUGAGGAUUGCUGCUGAUCAGAUGGAGAUCAAACCCCUUGAGAGGAUACAUCAAGAAGGUGACGUUGCAUUAUUUCAGGGCUACCACAGUUAUGCUGUGAGGACCUCCCCAGUUACUCCCCCAGUGGAAUAUGAGGAAGAAGUAUUCCCUGACUCCAAGUUGCCUGCCAAGCCAAGUACCCCAGAGCCAAAAGCUGAGGUGAAGGCCAAUGAACACAAAAUAGAGCCUCAAAGGAGGGGAGCUACACCUGUUUCUCAGUACGAACCAGCUCAAGAGAAAAAAGCACUCAAAGCAGAACCUAAGCUGGAUCUCAAGCAACAUUCGCCGGCUGAACACAAAGCAGAAGAGAAAGCUGAAGCUGUAGCGGAAGGCAAGGCUGAAUGGAAGACUGAAACUAAGGUGGCUGCCAAAACUGAGCCCAAGGCUGUAGUGAAGAAAGCUCCUUUGCCAGAGGCAGCAAGAAAAGAGGUGGACGAACAUGAAGAGGGACCUAACACAGUCAUCAUUUGCAUGGUCAUCUUAUUGAACAUUGGCCUCUCCAUCUUAUUUGUACAUUUUCUGACAUGAUGAGAUGCAAAGACAAGAAGUUUCUGCUGACAUCUAUGCCUUAUCAGAGGUAUUACACCAUCCAUUCAGAACCAUCUAAAGAGGGGAGGGGUUUUGAACUCCAUUGAUUGCAUUGUGAUCAUGAACUUCCAUAGAAUGCUUCUCAAGAACUGUUUAGCCCUAUUCAUGGGCAAUUUCCUCUGCCCAGCAGGAAGAAGCCUUGAACUUUGCAAGCCCUCCUCAUUCUUCCUUUUGUUAUGAAUGAGAAUUGCCUUAAAGGUUCAAAACUGUGUUGAAAGUGAAACUACUGUGCUGCUGUUUGAAGAAACAAGGAUUCUUUGGUAAUUGUGGAAACACAAACCAAGCAGUCUCUUCAAAUUCAACCAUGAAAAUUCCAGGCUUCACCUGGAGAUUAUUAUAAAUCUCUUGAAGAACAUCAUAUUUCUCAAUUAUUGAACAGCCAGGAAUAAUUUUCAAGCUGUGGAUAUAACGUCUCCCACCCAAACCAAGAUUGUUAUGAAUCCAGUGUUAGGAAAGGUUAGGCUGUGUUCCCUGCUGCUACAUAACUCUAAAUAAUUCUGUGUAGACGUCCAGAUUCUAGAGCAGGCAAAAACCAUUUCUUUAGAUAGUGAAUCCCAGUCUAGGAUGUAAGUGAAUCCACAGCGGGGAAAAUGAAAACAUCCAUGAAUUACAGUUUAAGGAUGUUUAAAUAUCCGAUUAUAAGCAAUCCCCAGAAGUGGAUCCCUUGCAAUUCUGCCAAGUAGCAAUUUGAUUGACUGAAUAUUUUUUGAGAGUUUAAGAAACUUUCCAACUAGAGGCUGCAUUUUGAAUAUGGCCUACAAAGUACUACUAGAUGUUGUCAAUGCUCAUUUUAAAAUUAAGCAGUGCCUUGUUGGCAUCCUCUUAUAGCUGGGAGUGAAGUUAGACUAGCAGUGAGAUCCACUUUCUAUAAUAUGCUUUUCUCUGGGUAUUCAGAUGCACAUGUGACCUGGCAUAUGCAAAACCCUAAAAAAAAUAAUGCGUGGAUCAACCCUAAAUGUGUUUGGAUGUUUUUCCUCCUCUCCUUUUCGAACAAUGUUUGGACUUUUGAGUCAAUUUCAAAAGCUUUAAAUGUGCCUUAUUUAAAACUGACUGUGAAUUUUAAAUGUAUACUGACACUCCUUUAGGCAGAAGGUGGUUAAAAUGAGAAAGUGGAAGAAAGGAACUGGAACAUUAGCUGGUUUAAAAAGGAGAGAGUCCAGUUGUAAAUGCCAAAUGGUGAAAGGCUUAUAAAUAUGGUGCAGCAGAUGUAUAGUAGGUAGAUAUAAGGGUAGUGUUUUUCAGAUCAGAUUACUUAGAAUACAUGAGUUGCUGAAAAUGAAAUUGGAAAGCAGGAGUGAUGCUAUUCUGUGCCUUUUCCCCUUUCUUUUUAUAUUUUAAUCGAAUUAUACUGUAAAUUGGGUGAAGAGGGAUACAUUAUCUUUGCCCAGCAGCCCAUGUGCUGGAACUCUCCUCAGCAAAAUGUGUAAGUGUGCUUGAGGAACACCCACUGAACAUGGGAUGAGAGCAAUUUAGUCAGCCCUGGGUAUUAUUAUUACUUUUUCUUCUUCUUCUAAACGUAUUUGUAACAAAUAGGCUGUUACUUGCUUUUGAAAUUUGACAGCCUGUUUCCUGGCUCUCCAGUCGCCAGGUGUCCAAUUUCAGUGUGCAAACUGCUUUAUAACUAUGUAUGAUUUUCUUUGAGAGACCUCAGUGGCCUUUAUUUAUCAUGAAGCACAAAAUUGGAUCCUUUUGAAAAGUGCUGAGAUUGUUCCCACCCAACCCUGAUUCAUACAAAUAUGAUGUGCUGUCUCAUUCUUGUGCUUUGUUCCUUAACAACAUAAUGAGAGAAGUAAGUAGAUUUGCUUUAUGUGGCAUGUGUGGACCGGGAUCGAGAGGGCGCAUAUAUAUAAUGCAUCCACAGAUGUGUUUAUAUAUAUAUAUAUAUUUCCCCUUAUAUGCAUCCAGUGGUGUGUUGUGUAUAUAUAUAUCCCCUUAACUCCAUGCCAAAUCACAGGUUGCUUUUGAAACUCAUUACUUUCACGUGCAGUUUGCCAUUCAGCAUGUAAUGAUGACUGUGGUUCAGACAGAAGUCCAAGCCUCCAUUUAGUGUGCAGAAUCAUUGUUAUCCCUUGGUCACUACAAUGUGUAGUAACUGCUGUGUUUACAUGCAGGUAGCUGCAAACCUACCUCCAAGAAGUAACAGUAAGUAAUUCAGUAGAGCAAGAAGGGGUCAUGUGUAGCUCCCAAGCACUUUCGUGUUUCCUGGCACAUCUUUCUCGAGUCCCAAAAACCUCAGCCUUCAGCGUUUUUAAAAGAUAAUUUUCUAGCCCUCAUUGUUCCAAAGAUGAGUUUGACAUGACAGGUUAAAAAACAAACUCACAUCCAGGCCUACAUGAGCUCUGGUGAACACAUGAUGAACCUUUCUGUUCACAUCAGUGGAAGGAACAUCUACACAUGCCAGCAUGAGCUACCCCUUCCUUUAAAGUGAAUGGAAAGGUCUUGCUGGUUGGGGAGCUGCAUAUGUGCACCAUAGCACCUGUGUCCUCAAGGAACCACUGGAUCAGGGCAAAUGUAUGCACAAGCCUUGUGGGGGGGGUUCCCCAGGGUGAGCAGGAACAGUUUACCUCAACUUCGCAUGCCUUCAAAAUUAGGAUUCUGUUAAUUUUUUUCAGGUCUUACAAAAUGAAAAGUGCAUCACCACCACCAACACACCUUAAUCACAAAUUUUUAAAAUAAAAAGUGUAUGACAAUUUGUAUAAUAUUGUCCAGGAGUUUCCAUUAGUUGUUCUACUGGAUUAUGUGCAAUAAUAAAAACAUUUGCUUACAUUACCACAUGUAGGUUUUUAGAUGGGGUGGGGGAAAUGGUUUGUCACUAACACUGUGCCUUUUAAGUUUAAAUUUAACUAGCCUGGUUCCACAGAAACUGACAAGGUGAAGGCUGCAAGCCAAAAAUCAAGAUGCAAUCCAGCCAGUCAGUGGGAGAGGUUUUAGCAUACUGUGUAAUGAAACUGUCCUAUCCAGAUUUGAUAGGACGAUUUCAUUAUAUGCUAAAAUCUCUCCCACUGAAAUCAACAAAGAAAAGUGCUUUGCUUUUCUGGGAUCAUGUCACAAGAGAUUUUGAUUUCAAUUGAUUUGCUUGUCAGGCUGUUGCAUAAAUUGGAAAUAAUGAAAUGAUGAGAAUGCGUAACAUCUGUGUCAUGGUCUAUCUUAUAAUCUAGAGCUCAUAAUAUUCAAACAUGCAAAUUGGGAAGAGGCUGCUGAUGUCAUAAAAGCCUUUUUCUUACUGCUGUUCUUAAGGGAAUGGAAAAUUGGUAGGGAGCUGUCGUCCAGAUGAAAGGUCACCAUUUCCUCAAACAGGCAAUAAUCACCAUCUUCUCUGCAUUCUGACAUCGUCAUCAUCAUUUUCUUACACACACACCGAGCUUCACCACCAGGUCCCAGGGCAAUUCAAGAGGAAGAGGUGAACAACAAACAUACACUUGCAGACAUCUGGAAUGCUGGAAUAGAAAUAGGGUUGAAUUCAACUAAAUUAUUUUGCGAAUGGAACAACUUCUGCAAGCGCAACAGAACUUCCCCUUCUGCUGUGCCCCCCACCCCAAAUGGUGCCACACCCUCUUCAGAAUUCCACCAGUCUAUUUCAUUCUUCCUGCCCUCGGAUCUUCUGUCCUCCCCACCUCAACAGCCAGUCAGCAUUCUGUGUCCACUGCGCAUGAUCAGAUUUCACUGAACUAUAUUGGAUUUUGCUGUUUGAUGUUGCUAAAGGUAUUGUUGUUCUACUUCUUCAAACCUUCCAAUUUCCCCAGUCCUGCCUAUAGCUUCUUCUUGUGUGUGGGUGGCCAUUUUGGCUACAUAAUCAAUGGCACCCACAGCAUGGACAUCAGAAAUAGGGGAAAUAAUCUGACUCCCAUCAAUGACCAAGCCAUUUCAAAACGUCAGAGAAAGACUGGGGAGGAAGUAUAGAUGAAAUUGAUAUAUAUAUGCCAAUGUGUAGCUAGCCUGACUUAAGCAGAUGUUAAACCAACAGGAACAAUUGAUAAAUCUUAUUAGGCCAGCUCAAAGUUGGCUAGGUGGUAACUUCAAGUAGGUUUUCUUGCAAAGAGGGGUACUUGAAUAGAAUGCAAAGUAGCAAUUUCAGUCAAGGACUUCUGAAUAAGAGUAGAGAAACACUUGCAGUUGUGAUAGCUUCAGUGUUUCCAGCUCUGUUUUCUGAGGUCAAAGACAUACGACACUAGUCAAACUCUAACCCUUUUUACUCCAAAACCUGGAGAAAUGCAGCUCCGGUGCAUUUCUCCAUGAAAUAAGUUUCACACAGAAAUCAAAACUAUUUUGUUAGAUCAACUCCAGAUUGGAUUAUUGCAAUGCGCUCUAUGUGAGGCUGCCCUUGAAGACAACUCAGAAACUUCAACUGGUCCAAAAUGUAGGAGCCAGAAUAGCAGCUGGUGUUAUUAUUCAAUUUAUUUAUAUACCACAUUUUUCACAAAUACAUAUGUGCUCAAAGCGGUUCACACAAACAGUCCAAAUGCUGUAGCACAACAAUACAUAACAAAAAAUAUAAUCACUACAUUAAAGAAAAAAACAUACAUCAAAAUAUAAAUGAGCAUAAACCUCAACAACAAAGCCAAAGCAAAAUAUUUAAAAACUAACCCCCAAGCUGAUACAAAAAUCUUUUCCAUCCCGCUGACCCCCAUAACUCAACCCAAAGGGCCAGAAAGUCUUCUGAAAGAAGCUGCUUUUGAAGACUUCCCAGGCUGGAGGGUGCGGCAACGAAGGUGGAAAUAGCUCUCCCCUGAUGACAGACUCUCUCUUCUCAUAGUCCUCCUGAAGGAAGCUCCCUUUUGAAGGCUUCCUGGGCUGGAGGGUGGGGCAAGGCAGGUGGAAAUAGCCCUUGCCUAAUGACAGAGUCUCUCUCUCAUAAGGGUUCCCUUUAGACCUUAUAUAAUCCCUGUUUUAAAACAGCUACAUUGGUUAUCACUGCCAGUUAUAUUCCAGACUCAUUUUAAGGUGCUCAUGCUAGCACUGAAAGCCCUAAACAACUUAGGUCCCAAAUAUCUGAAAGACCAACUCCUUUUUUACAGACCCUCUUGGGUGUUGAGAUCAGCAGAGGGGGUCCUUUUGGUGGUUCUGCCACUCUUGGAAGCUCAGGUGGGUGGCCUGAGAGAGGGCAUUCUCUGUGGCAGCCCCUAAGUUGUGGAACUCCCCACUGAGGUGGGUCUGGAAACUUCGCUGUAUAGUUUUAGGUGAAUGCUGAAGAUAACCUCUUUACUCUGGCCUUUGAUACCCGAGGAAGGCAACAGCGCAGCAAGGAAUUGGGGAGAAAAACAAAAACAAUGCAGCCUAUGCAAGAGAAGAUUUUGUAGCAUAAAGGGACAGCUGAAAAGAUGACAGUGGAAACAAGAUGCCUGGGACAGAACUGUACUGGAGUAGAUCUUCUGGAUGAAAUGUUUUUUUUAAAAAACACCAAAAGCAUUCCCUUCUAUUUUGGAGUAAUUGAGAACAAACUGUACCUAGCUGCAGAUGAUGUUUGGUGUUUUGAAAGUGAUACAGCAAGCAUAAACAUUGGUUUUAAAAUAAUUUUAAUUUUUACAAGUGUUUAGUAUCUGUGCAUCUCAUUUUUCUUCUGAUUUAAGGUAGUGGACUGUAAUGCUCUGUACUUUUUCAGCAAUGAUAUAUUGGGAGGGUUCUGCCCCCUGCUCGCUUUCGCUUGCCAACCCUCCCCCCACUUGCUCCCUUUGCUGAGCCUUCUUGAUUGCCAUACUAAGGGAAGUAUGUUAGCUUCUCAGCUGAUUUGCCUCCUUUCACUCUGGCUCCAAUCACCAAGAAAGGACAUGGAAAACAUAGGGACCCUGCUAGGACCCAGUUUCCCCAAAAGUAAGGGGUCUAAGACCCCCUGGGAGCCUGGAUAACUACAUCACUGAGGUUAAGUACAUGCAACUGAAAAAAUGACAUAUUGCUUCCCUUUUACUCUGCUCUGUUUUCCUCUCCUUCCUUUGUUGUUUCCUAUGUCAACUUCUAGAUUGUAAGUUCCUCAGGGCAGGAACCUGGCCUCUUGUACUCUGUAAAGUACCAUGCCCUCUAAUGCACUAUAAAAUUAAAUACAUAUGUUACAAUGGCCAGUGCACAGCAUCAAUACAACCCAUAAUGCAUUGUGACUGCAAUAAAAAUGUGAGUGCAGUAAUAUCCAGAACCAGGGACUCAAAUUAGGGAGAAUAACUGCAAAACUGCUUCUGUUGCAUUUGCCUUCUUUAAGUUGGGUUGUUCAUUUUUGUGCAGGCCCUGAUCCUAGUGGGGAACCUCCUGCCUGCAGGCCAAAUUAGACCCAGCAUGGCUUAAAGUGUCUCCUGAUUAUUCCUUUGAAAGUAAGGCAUGCUGUUGCACCAAUCUCUUGGGUUCUAUGGGGCUACUGUAUAAAUGAAUAAUGCAAAUACAAUUACAAUUUUGUAAGGUUCUGGCUGCUUUUA